CGGGGGAGGCGGGAUCCUGGGCUGUGUCCCUGCGCCCUGUGCUCCGGGGCCUGCGCUGUUGGAUUCGCGCUCCCGCCUGCAGCCCCCU
rnacentral:pre_miRNA from 1 species